GAGUUUGAUCAUGGCUCAGGAUGAACGCUAGCGGCAGGCUUAACACAUGCAAGUCGAGGGGCAUCGGGAGGAAAGCUUGCUUUCCUUGCCGGCGACCGGCGCACGGGUGAGUAACACGUAUGCAACCUGCCCUCUUCAGGGGGACAACCUUCCGAAAGGGAGGCUAAUCCCGCGUAUAUCGGUUUCGGGCAUCCGAGAUCGAGGAAAGAUUCAUCGGAAGAGGAUGGGCAUGCGGCGCAUUAGCUUGACGGCGGGGUAACGGCCCACCGUGGCGACGAUGCGUAGGGGUUCUGAGAGGAAGGUCCCCCACACUGGUACUGAGACACGGACCAGACUCCUACGGGAGGCAGCAGUGAGGAAUAUUGGUCAAUGGGAGAGAUCCUGAACCAGCCAAGCCGCGUGAGGGAAGACGGCCCUAUGGGUUGUAAACCUCUUUUGUCGGAGAACAAAACCCGGGACGUGUCCCGGACUGCGUGUAUCCGAAGAAAAAGCAUCGGCUAACUCCGUGCCAGCAGCCGCGGUAAUACGGAGGAUGCGAGCGUUAUCCGGAUUUAUUGGGUUUAAAGGGUGCGUAGGCGGUCCGUUAAGUCAGCGGUAAAAUUGCGGGGCUCAACCCCGUCGAGCCGUUGAAACUGGCAGACUUGAGUUGGCGAGAAGUACGCGGAAUGCGCGGUGUAGCGGUGAAAUGCAUAGAUAUCGCGCAGAACUCCGAUUGCGAAGGCAGCGUACCGGCGCCAGACUGACGCUGAGGCACGAAAGCGUGGGGAUCGAACAGGAUUAGAUACCCUGGUAGUCCACGCAGUAAACGAUGAAUGCUGGUUGUCCGGGUCGAAUGAGAUCUGGGCGGCGAAGCGAAAGCGAUAAGCAUUCCACCUGGGGAGUACGCCGGCAACGGUGAAACUCAAAGGAAUUGACGG
rnacentral:rRNA from 1 species